CGCCGCGUGAGGGAUGACGGCCUAUCGGGUUGUAAACCUCUUUUAGUAGGGAAGAAGCGAAAGUGACGGUACCUGCAGAAAAAGCACCGGCUAACUACGUGCCAGCAGCCGCGGUAAUACGUAGGGUGCAAGCGUUGUCCGGAAUUAUUGGGCGUAAAGAGCUCGUAGGCGGUUUGUCGCGUCUGCUGUGAAAUCUGGGGGCUCAACCCCCAGCCUGCAGUGGGUACGGGCAGACUAGAGUGCGGUAGGGGAGAUUGGAAUUCCUGGUGUAGCGGUGGAAUGCGCAGAUAUCAGGAGGAACACCGAUGGCGAAGGCAGAUCUCUGGGCCGUAACUGACGCUGAGGAGCGAAAGCAUGGGGAGCGAACAGGAUUAGAUACCCUGGUAGUCCAUGCCGUAAACGUUGGGAACUAGAUGUGGGGGCCAUUCCACGGUCUCCGUGUCGCAGCUAACGCAUUAAGUUCCCCGCCUGGGGAGUACGGCCGCAAGGCUAAAACUCAAAGGAAUUGACGGGGGCCCGCACAAGCGGCGGAGCAUGCGGAUUAAUUCGAUGCAACGCGAAGAACCUUACCAAGGCUUGACAUAUACCGGAAACGUCCAGAGAUGGUCGCCCCGCAAGGUC
rnacentral:rRNA from 1 species